rnacentral:rRNA from 1 species
UACGAGUGGCGCUAGUGUUACUCUUCAUGACUGGGCGUUAAGGAUGCGUAGAUUCAAUAUUUUGUUAUAUUACGAAAUAACUAUUGAGUAUAGAUUCCGUAUAUAAAACGUAUAUUGAAAUAUUAUUUAGAAGUAAGCGGAACUAUUAGUGAUAGAACUGAAAAGCGGGAUUAAACUAAUAAGAACACCGUAAGCGAAGGCGGUUCUCUGGGCCUGUACUGACGCUGAGGAACGAAAGCGUGGGGAGCGAACAGG